AUCAUUUGUAUAUUCUGAUGUUAAAUCAAGAGACUGAAUUUUUCUACACCAAGUUUGGUGUAGGUGAAAUCUACAAUCAUGUACAGUUGAGGAGUCUUUACCCGUGCGUCAUUAAUAGGUCUGUUCCUUUGUUUUUUAGUGUUACACUUUUGAGUGUAAGUGUAAGAAAUUCUAUGGACAUUUGAGUGUAAAAUGACAGCGGAUGUGACAGCGGCUCAUGACAGCGGACAGUAUUAAACGAAAAUUAUCGGUGUGCCAAUCAAGCAAAGGAACAAGGAACUUCCGAAUAUGGCCUAACUGGGGGCACAUAACAUAACCUAAUCCUAAUAUUUACAUUUGUAAAGAAUAUCCUGUUUGUUUUUAUUGUCGAUUGUGCAGCGAAAUUGUGAUAGCAAAUCAAAUAUAAAGUAGUUUAUCGCCUACAGAACUGAAUUAGUCCAUAGCAGUUAUCAGUUUUUCUUUCUUGGGAAGCUUAUACAUGUAACUUUUAUUGUUGUAAAUUGUGGGAGUAGGGCAGACAGGGAAAAGUCUUAUUUUGUACUGUUCCCAAGGCUCCCCAUGCAAUACAUUUAAAUGAAUUAUCCAAACAAAGCCGGGGACAAUGGAUAAAAGCCACAAGAAGAACAGAUAUAAGGGAACUAAAAUUAAAAUAUGAAAAGUAAACAUUUUAUAAGUGGAACAACCACCAGAUAUUUAAAAGGUAUAAAAAGAAGAAACUGCUGGAAUUUCAAAACAAAUGUGUUUGACUAGUAAAGAUUUGGAUAAAUAACAGGAGUUACUUUGGGCUAUAGCUACGUGCAGAUUUAUUUCCUUGUGGCUUCCUAUGUUAAUUCUUAUUAAUUAUACACUUAAAUAUGUUUUUAGUCUCAGGAAGAUUUUAUAUUUGAUUAUUUUUGAAUAAACAUUAUUAUUAUUAUUACCUUAAUUUCCAUUAAAUAAAUUUACUGUAAUCAAUAAAGUAAUCGUUUAAUUGUUAAUAAAUUAUCAAGUAUGAUUCCCAAA